UUGAACAUGGACUGGUUUGGACAGUUUGUACAGUAGAAUAUCAAAAGAAAGAACACAGAUUUAUAGGAUAUUUGUACUGAAUGUCUUAGGAACUGAAAAUGUCAAAUGAAAAUAUAAAAACACAUACAAUAGCAAAUAGUACACGGACUGAAGUUGACGGUAAAAUUUAUGAAAACAUUUCAACAGUAAAUACAAGUGGAGAAAUGACCAAUGGACAACCCGAAAGAAGGAAAUCGUUGGACCACACGAAGGACGUUCUAGUGAGACCAAAGAGAAAAACAUCCCUGGACCAUACAUGGGAACCUCAGAGUCAAGUAGAUAUUGAUGUGCGCAUGUGUAAGGCAUUAUGUAAAAACGAAGAAAACAAGUUUAGGAAUAUGGAUAGAAUGUUUGAUAAGCAAAAACAUGACGCUAUACAGUCACAAGAUUUUGCUAUGUCAAAAUACCAUAAGAAAUUGGAACGAUAUAAAAAAGCCAAAAGUUAAAAGGAAAUACAUUGUUUAACCAUUUUUCAUCCAAACAAAACUCAUUAUCUGUUGAUUUGUAAUUUCAUUUCCUUAUUGAUAUUUUGAUGAUAUUAUAAUAUGAAAUUGUUAUCAUAAAAAGAGAUGUCAAGGUCCACCUGAAUUGGGGAAAGUUUAAUAAACUCAUGAAUAAUCAGUCAUUACUGCAUGGUCCUCAUUGAUUGGAGAAGUCGACUUAAGAUAGUCGAUCAAAAUGUAAAGCAUGUUUGUAUCAAAUAUUAUUCAAUACUUGAAAUAAUGAAGAGUGGAACAGUUUACCAUUUCAGUAUACUAGUACAUAUUAUUCAAUAAAAUAAAUAAAUUUUGUAAAAGCACAAAUACAAUUGUAAAAGCGUCGUUGAAAAUAAAAAGUACAUGUUUACCGAA